rnacentral:pre_miRNA from 14 species
CCCUUAGUCCAGUUCUGGACAUUCGCGGGUUUUUUCCUUCGGUGAUAUUCGAAGAAUCGCUAUCACCGGGUGAAAACUUGCAAGUGUCUUGCUUCGACUG